GACGAACGCUGGCGGCGUGCCUAACACAUGCAAGUCGAACGGAGUUAAGACUUCGGUUUUAACUUAGUGGCGAACGGGUGAGUAACGCGUGAGAAACCUGCCUUUCAGUGGGGGACAACAGUUGGAAACGACUGCUAAUACCGCAUAAGCGCACAGUAUCGCAUGAUACAGUGUGAAAAACUCCGGUGGUAUAAGAUGGACCCGCGUCUGAUUAGCUAGUUGGUGAGGUAACGGCUCACCAAGGCGACGAUCAGUAGCCGGCCUGAGAGGGUGAACGGCCACAUUGGGACUGAGACACGGCCCAA
rnacentral:rRNA from 1 species